rnacentral:rRNA from 1 species
AUACGGAGGAUCCGAGCGUUAUCCGGAUUUAUUGGGUUUAAAGGGUGCGCAGGCGGCCAUUUAAGUCAGCGGUUAAAUCGUGGGGCUCAACCCCAUUCUGCCGUUGAUACUGGGUGGCUUGAUUGCGGUCGAGGUUGGCGGAAUUCGUUGUGUAGCGGUGAAAUGCAUAGAUAUGACGAAGAACACCGAUUGCGCAGGCAGCUGACCAGACCGCAAAUGACGCUCAUGCACGAAAGUGCGGGGAUCGAACAGGAUUAGAUACCCUGGUAGUCCGCACAGUAAACGAUGAAUACUUGUUUUCGGCGAUAUAAUGUCGGAGGCAAAGCGAAAGCGAUAAGUAUUCCACCUGGGGAGUACGCCGGCAACGGUGAAACUCAAAGGAAUUGACGGGG